ACUAAACAUCUUUCUAACCACCACCGUCAAUAACACUACUUCCACCGUUAAGAACACCAUCAUUAACACCCGUCGUCAAUGCCACUUCCAGCAAUACAGCCACCGUCGAUGUCACCUCCUACGAUAAAGUCAUUGCCAACGUUGCACUAUCGUAGAAAAAGCUCCUUCCCUGAACAAAGCCACCACCUUCUUCGAUAAAGCCACUGCUCCCUACAACAAAUUCAUCACCCCAAAAAUAGAAAUUGAUGGCAAAAAAUAGACGAGCACGAAAGGGUGAAAUCCAACAGCAGCAACAGUCGAUGUUGUUGACACCAUUGUCGCCGCUAUAAUCAUCGUCAUCACCCACUAUUGUCGCCUCGAUCGUUGUCAUCGCCCAUUGUGCCUCAACCGUCACUACCGCCAUAGACAUCCCUUUCUACCUCACAACGAUGUUGACUCACCAUCACCAAUCGAUUCGAUGUUUUCUUUUCAUUUCAGUGGGUUGGGUAGAAUUUUUUAGUUAAAAUUUGAUUUGCAUUUGUUUCCUCAAAUUCAACAUCAAUACAACACUUGUUGUGUUUCAUGUUGUUCUUGAACAAGAUCUUAAUACUGAGACUUUCUGGUGUUUAUAGAAAGAGGAGAGAAAAUGAAAAGCGGUGGUUUAUGACGGUAACGACGAUGGUAAUGGUGAUUUAUGGUGUUAACAACGGUGGUAAUGGUGAGGAGAUCGUGAAUUUCUUGACUAAUAUUCACUUUUUUUAAUUAAUACUUUUUAGCUUAAUGUAGU
rnacentral:lncRNA from 1 species